GAAUCCGCCAAGGAGUGUGUAACAACUCACCUGCCGAAUGGAUUAGCCCUGAAAAUGGAUGGCGCUGAAGCGGGCAGCCGAUACCACGCCGUCUGUUUUAGUGAAUGGAACAGAUGAGUAGGAGGGCGUGGAGGUCGUAUCGAAGCAUGCGUGCGAACGUGUGUGGAACGGCCUCUAGUGCAGAUCUUGGUGGUAGUAGCAAAUAUUCAAGCGAGAUCCUUGAAGGGCGAAGCGGGGAAGGGUUCCACGCGAACAUUGAUUGGGCGUGGGUGAGUCGUUCCUAAGCCGCGUGGUAAUAGCUAUCAAACGGCGAAAGGGAAGCGGGUUGAAAUUCCCGCACACGGAUGUGGAGGCGGCGACGCUUUAUUGAGAUGAGCCCGUCGGCGGUUGCACUGGGCAGAGAUGUCUUUUCUGUUUAACCAGCUCGCGCGCUGUGUGGAAUCCGAUUAUCGGGAGAAACACGCGUACCGGGUAAGAGCGCCGGGACUUUUCCGGCGUCCAGCUCGCGACCGACGGCCCUUGAAAACUUAUCUACUGCAAUAAAAUCCACGCCGUGGCGUACCGAUAACCGCAUCAGGUCCCCAAGGUGAACAGCCUCUGCCUAAUAUGAACAAUGCAGGUAAGGGAAGUCGGCA
rnacentral:rRNA from 1 species